AGUGAACGCUGGCGGUAUGCCUAACACAUGCAAGUCGAACGGCAGCACAGUAGUAGCUGGCUCUUACGGGUUUCGAGUCGCGGACGUGUGUGGAAUACAUCGAACUUUACUUUUUCGUUGGGGUUAACGUAGGGAAACUUACGCUAAUACGGCAUACGACCUACUUGUGAAAGCGCGAUAUCUUCGGACCUUUCUCGUGUCACUUAGCCGACGUCGGAUUAGCUAGUUGGCGGGGUAAAGGCCCACCAAGGCGACGAUCCGUAGCUGGUCUGAGAGGAUGAUCAGCCACACUGGAACUGAGACACGGCCCAGACUCCUACGGGAGGCAGCAGUGGGGAAUAUUGGACAAUGGGCGAAAGCCUGAUCCAGCAAUACCGCGUGAGUGAAGAAGGUCUUCGGGUUGUAAAGCCCUUUUGUUGGGAAAGAAAAGCAGCAGGUUAAUCCCAAGCUGUUCUGACGGUACCCAAAGAAUAAGCACCGGCUAACUUCGUG
rnacentral:rRNA from 1 species